rnacentral:rRNA from 1 species
GACGAACGCUGGCGGCGUGCUUAACACAUGCAAGUCGAGCGGGGAUUGAUGAAGUGCUUGCACAGAUUCAAUUCUAGCGGCGGACGGGUGAGUAACGCGUGAGCAAUCUGUCCUACACAGGGGGAUAACACUUGGAAACAGGUGCUAAUACCGCAUAAGACCACGAGGUCGCAUGGCCACGGGGUAAAAGAAUUAUCGGUGUAGGGUGAGCUCGCGUCCCAUUAGCUAGUUGGUGAGGUAACGGCCCACCAAGGCGACGAUGGGUAGCCGACCUGAGAGGGAGAUCGGCCACAUUGGAACUGAGACACGGUCCAGACUCCUACGGGAGGCAGCAGUGGGGAAUAUUGGGCAAUGGGCGCAAGCCUGACCCAGCAACGCCGCGUGAAGGAAGAAGGUUUUCGGAUUGUAAACUUCUGUCCUAAGUGACGAAGACAAUGACGGUAGCUUAGGAGGAAGCCCCGGCUAACUACGUGCCAGCCGCCGCGGUAACAC